rnacentral:rRNA from 1 species
CCUACGGGAGGCAGCAGUGAGGAAUAUUGGUCAAUGGCCGGAAGGCUGAACCAGCCAUGCCGCGUGAAGGUCAGUGCCCUAUGGGCGUUAAACUUCUUUUGUGCGGGAGCAAUAAUGGUCACGUGUGGCCAGACGAGAGUACCGUACGAAUAAGCAUCGGCUAACUCCGUGCCAGCAGCCGCGGUAAUACGGGGGAUGCAAGCGUUAUCCGGGUUUAUUGGGUUUAAAGGGUGCGUAGGCUGGGAGGUAAGUCAGCGGUGAAAUGCCCCCGCUCAACGGGGUGAAGUGCCAUUGAAACUGCCUGGCUGGAAUGCGGAUGCGGUGGGAGGAAUGAGUGGUGUAGCGGUGAAAUGCAUAGAUAUCACACAGAACACCGAUUGCGAAGGCAUCUCACGAAUCCGCGAUUGACGCUGAUGCACGAGAGCGUGGGUAUCAAACAGGAUUAGAUACCCCAGUAGUC